CAGGAGGGAAGAAAAAAAACCACAUAUGGCUUCACGGGCACCGUACAUUCGCGGAUGUUGUAAAAAAAACACACAAAAAUGAUGGACGAUUUCUGUAUGUGAUGUAAACCCGUAGGAUAUUGUAUUUACGUUAAUUGCCAUCAUUCAUCUUUAUUCCAGGACUUUCAACAUGGAAGAUGAAUGGGAAGAGGAGGAGCAGCUUGUUGUGGUGGAGCUCUCUGGUAUAAUCAACAAUGACUUCCUGUCCAAGUGUCGGGGCACAUGCAAGAUUCUUGACAUUGACAGCGAGAAGCCCAUGAUGCAGGUUGGACAAUAUGUGUUUGCAGGAGAAUAUGAAGAUGCCUUGGGAACAUGUGUGCUGUUCGAGGAGGGACCACAGAAAGGAAAAGCAGACAGUGUUCCAGAGCUCAAGUACAUGUGCCACACUGUGAAGAAACUGAUGAUGCAACGAAUCUUCCUCGUUGAGAAGAAAGACGGAGAAACCAGCACAGCAGGAAGUGGUGAUAGUGGUGAACAGAUGAACCCAACUUAUCGGUCCGAUGAAGACGAAAAUGCCAACCAACAGGGAGAGACAGAAGACGAUAUGGGCAACACAGAAUUGGAAGACUCAGCAGUGGGCUGAGAAAUGCAGGCCUUGGCAUAUUAUGACCUCCCUAUACAAGUGCAGAGACACGCCAGCAUUUGCAAGGCUGUAGGGGACUCCAUGUCUGAAACAGGGAAGUGUCAGUGUUAAUGAAAACAUUGUAUCGCCAUCCUUUUUGUGUACAUGUAUUGUGUCUGGUCUGGUCUUCUUUACCAGACCUCAAAAUAAGUGAAUUUCAUAUUUGAUGUGCAACAAAAUAUGGCUAAAUGACACCUAAAGGGAAAACAGUCUUGUAUAAAUUACCAUUUAAAUCCUUUUUUUCCACAUACGAAGGGUCUUGGGAAGGUCAGUCACGGAAAUGUGGCCGGAGACCUCAGGUUAGCAGCAGGAAGUCCUUUCAUUGUGCUUUUAUGAAAUCAUCAGUUUUUGUUUUCUCUGAUUAAUCAUUAUGCUGUUUAACCAGCAGAGGGUGAUAAAUCUGCUUUAGCUGCAGGGUUAUAGUAAGUCAUUUAUACAUUGAAAGAAGUGAAUGAGGAGUACCUGACUUUAAAAUAAAAAGUCCCUUUUUGUCUGUUUUAUGAUAAAUGUACUUUGAUUUGCUAUGUUAAAGCCAACACAAAUAAAGGCUUAUUUAUUUUUUUGAGAGGCCUCAGUCUUAUUGUGUUGUUUUUGUUGUUGAUGUUUUGCUUUUGUGGAAUUUCCACCAGAGAUGUAGAUUUGGCAUUCGGUUACAGAGCAAAAGGCUGUCAAUAAGGCAACCUUUUUGGGUUUUAGCUUUUAAGACUGUAAAUACAAUUCUACUGUAGUU